rnacentral:rRNA from 1 species
AAUCAUUAGUCUUUUAAUUUGAGACUGGAAUGAAUGGUUUAACUAAUUAAGUUUGUCUCAUUUCAAUAUUUUGAAUUUUAUAUUUUAGUAAAAAAGCUAAAAUUAUUUUUAAAGACGAGAAGACCCUAUCAAGCUUUAUAAUAAAAUUUUUAUAUUCAAAAUAAAAGUUAAAUUAUUUUACUGGGGCAGUAAAUAGAAAAUUUCUACUUUAUUAUUAUGAUUUAUAAAUCUUACCAAACCUAAAAAUUUUUAAAUAAAAAUAAGUUACUGUAGGGAUAACAGCAUAAUUUUUUUAUAGAGUUCUUAUCGUCAAAAAAGUUUGUGACCUCGAUGUUGGAUUAAGAAGCCUAAUUUACGCAAUAGUAAAAUAAGG